GACGAACGCUGGCGGCGUGCUUAACACAUGCAAGUCGAGCGGAAAGGCCCUGCUUGCAGGGUACUCGAGUGGCGAACGGGUGAGUAACACGUGGGUGAUCUGCCCUGCACUUCGGGAUAAGCCUGGGAAACUGGGUCUAAUACCGGACAGGAGCCAUAUUUAGUGUGAUGGUUGGAAAGUUUUUUCGGUGUUGGGUGAGCUCGCGAGCUAACAGCUUGUUGGUGGGGUGAUGGCCUACCGAGGCGGCGGCGUGAUGCCGGCCUGAGUGGGUGGGCGGCGACCCUGGGACUUACGGGAGGCCCAGGCACCUACUCGUGGCAGCUGGGGGGAAGAUUGCCCGAGGGGCGCCGGCCUGAUGCAGCGGCGCCGCGUGGGGGAUGACUGCCUUCGGGUUGUAAACCACUUUCGCAAGGGACGAAGCUUGUUGUGACGGUACCUAGACAAGAAGCACCGGCUAACUACGUG
rnacentral:rRNA from 1 species